rnacentral:tRNA from 1 species
GUGGUUGUGGCUCAGUGGUAGAGUGCUUGCCUAGCAUGCAUUGGGCACUGGGUUCGAUCCUCAGCACCACA